CCUACGGGUGGCAGCAGUGAGGAAUAUUGGUCAAUGGGCGCGAGCCUGAACCAGCCAAGUCGCGUGAGGGAAGACGGUCCUAUGGAUUGUAAACCUCUUUUGUCGGGGAGCAAAAGACGCCACGCGUGGCGUUCCGCGAGUACCCGACGAACAAGCAUCGGCUAACUCCGUGCCAGCAGCCGCGGUAAUACGGGGGAUGCGAGCGUUAUCCGGAUUUAUUGGGUUUAAAGGGUGCGCAGGCGGAAGAUCAAGUCAGCGGUAAAAUUGAGAGGCUCAACCUCUUCGAGCCGUUGAAACUGGUUUUCUUGAGUGAGUGAGAAGUAUGCGGAAUGCGUGGUGUAGCGGUGAAAUGCAUAGAUAUCACGCAGAACUCCGAUUGCGAAGGCAGCAUACCGGCGGUCAACUGACGCUCAUGCACGAAAGUGUGGGUAUCGAACAGGAUUAGAUACCCUUGUAGUC
rnacentral:rRNA from 1 species